GAUCCAUUAGCUCAGUUGGUAGAGCACUUGACUUUUAAUCAAGGGGCCUGGGGUUCAAGCCCCCAAUGGGUCACCA
rnacentral:tRNA from 1 species